rnacentral:rRNA from 1 species
UACGAAGGGGGCUAGCGUUGUUCGGAAUUACUGGGCGUAAAGCGUUUGUAGGCGGUUAUCUAAGUCAGUGGUGAAAGCCCAGGGCUCAACCCUGGAAUUGCCAUUGAAACUGGAUAGCUAGAGAGUGUUAGAGGAAAGUGGAAUUCCUAGUGUAGGAGUGAAAUCCGUAGAGAUUAGGAGGAAUAUCGAUGGCGAAGGCAGCUUUCUGGGACAUUUCUGACGCUGAGAAACGGAAAGCGAUGGG